CGCUCUUUGUAAAUAUAAAAUAAGGAGUCGUACCUGCCCGGUGAAAAAUUUAACGGCCGCAGUACCCUGACUGUGCAAAGGUAGCAUAAUCAUUUGCCUUUUAAUUGAAGGCUGGAAUGAAUGGUUUGACGAAAUUCUUCUGUCUCUAUCUUAUUAAAUAGAAUUUAAUUUUUAGGUGAAGAAGCCUGAAUGAAGUCAAAAGACGAAAAGACCCUGUCGAACUUUAGAGUAAUUAUAAAAUUAUAUGCUUUUUAGAAUAAAUGUUUUUUAGAAUUUCUCUUUUGUUGGGGUGACAGAAGAACAGAUAAAGCUUCUUUUAGUUGAGGAAACUUAUAUGUUGAAAAGAUCCAUAAAAAUUUAUGAUAGUAAGAUAAGUUACCGCAGGGAUAACAGCGUUAUUUUUCUGGAGAGUUCAAAUUGAAGGAAAAGAUUGCGACCUCGAUGUUGGAUUGGAAUACCUAUAGGCGGAGAAGCUUGUUGUUGGGGGUCUGUUCGACCUUUAAAUUUCCACA
rnacentral:rRNA from 1 species